UACGGAGGGGACUAGCGUUAAUCGGAAUUACUGGGCGUAAAGCGUGCGUAGGCGGUUCGUUAAGUUCGUUGUGAAAGCCCCGGGCUCAACCUGGGAAUGGCAAUGGAAACUGGCGGGCUUGAGUGUGGCAGAGGGGGGUGGAAUUCCGCGUGUAGCAGUGAAAUGCGUAGAGAUGCGGAGGAACACCGAUGGCGAAGGCAGCCCCCUGGGCCAACACUGACGCUCAGGCACGAAAGCGUGGGGAGCAAACAGG
rnacentral:rRNA from 1 species